UACGAGGGGUGCAAGCGUUGCUCGGAAUUAUUGGGCGUAAAGCGCGUGUAGGCGGCUUUGCAAGUCGGGUGUGAAAGCCCUCAGCUUAACUGAGGAAGUGCGCCCGAAACUGCAUUGCUUGAGUACCGGAGAGGAUGGCGGAAUUCCCCAAGUAGAGGUGAAAUUCGUAGAUAUGGGGAGGAACACCGGUGGCGAAGGCGGCCAUCUGGACGGAUACUGACGCUGAGACGCGAAAGCGUGGGUAGCAACCGAGG
rnacentral:rRNA from 1 species